rnacentral:lncRNA from 1 species
UACUGAGCCUGAAGAAGAGGAAAGUCAACUAAGAUUAAAUAUAAAAUGGAAUUCCUGACCACAUGGAAGGGGAAAAUGAAGUAAUAACAUUUCACCUCUGACUCUGAGGUUGGAAACAGCUGCCCUUGAAGAAUAUUUUGAAGAAGGAGGACUUUGCACGGAGCUUCUUUUAGGGGUACUGAAAACUUUCAAGACUGUCUGAGAGGGACUCUUCAGGAAGUAUUGGCUUUACUGAUCUCUCAAAGAGCAACUUCAUUUUUUUCUAUUCUUGUGAUUUGUAUUUUCUUGUUAAGUUCAAAACUUCAGAGGUCUGAGUACAAGUAUAUCCUUCUAAUACGCCGACGACUAUAGUACUAUACAAAGGAGAAAUAAUCAUCAAAUGAAGAAGAGACAGAAGGAAUAUGCAUGCCAAACAAGAAAAAGUAAUAUUUAUUUUCUAUGAUUUUCUAAAUAAUUUUAAUUGCCAUUUAAUGGCAUAGGCUUGUGUUUGAGCAUAGAAUUGAACUGCAACAGAUCUUUUAUCAGCUGUUGCUUCUGUCUAUCAAUUUUUAAUUUAAUCAUCAGAAUUAAAAUUACAGGCAAGAAUUCAUAAUAA